UCCCUUUUAGCUCAGUUGGUAAAGAAUCUGUCUACAAUACAGGAGACCUGGGUUCAAUUCCUGGGUCAGGAA
rnacentral:tRNA from 1 species